GCCCGGAUAGCUCAGUUGGUAGAGCAAGGGACUGAAAAUCCUUGUGUCGGCGGUUCAAUUCCGCCUUCGGGCAUCAUCA
rnacentral:tRNA from 1 species